GAUGAACGCUGGCGGCGUGCCUAAUACAUGCAAGUCGAGCGAACGGACGAGAAGCUUGCUUCUCUGAUGUUAGCGGCGGACGGGUGAGUAACACGUGGAUAACCUACCUAUAAGACUGGGAUAACUUCGGGAAACCGGAGCUAAUACCGGAUGAUAUUUUGAACCGCAUGGUUCAAAAGUGAAAGACGGUCUUGCUGUCACUUAUAGAUGGAUCCGCGCUGCAUUAGCUAGUUGGUAAGGUAACGGCUUACCAAGGCAACGAUGCAUAGCCGACCUGAGAGGGUGAUCGGCCACACUGGAACUGAGACACGGUCCAGACUCCUACGGGAGGCAGCAGUAGGGAAUCUUCCGCAAUGGGCGAAAGCCUGACGGAGCAACGCCGCGUGAGUGAUGAAGGUCUUCGGAUCGUAAAACUCUGUUAUUAGGGAAGAACAUAUGUGUAAGUAACUGUGCACAUCUUGACGGUACCUAAUCAGAAAGCCACGGCUAACUACGUGCCAGCAGCCGCGGUAAUACGUAGGUGGCAAGCGUUAUCCGGAAUUAUUGGGCGUAAAGCGCGCGUAGGCGGUUUUUUAAGUCUGAUGUGAAAGCCCACGGCUCAACCGUGGAGGGUCAUUGGAAACUGGAAAACUUGAGUGCAGAAGAGGAAAGUGGAAUUCCAUGUGUAGCGGUGAAAUGCGCAGAGAUAUGGAGGAACACCAGUGGCGAAGGCGACAUUCUGGUCUGUAACUGACGCUGAUGUGCGAAAGCGUGGGGAUCAAACAGGAUUAGAUACCCUGGUAGUCCACGCCGUAAACGAUGAGUGCUAAGUGUUAGGGGGUUUCCGCCCCUUAGUGCUGCAGCUAACGCAUUAAGCACUCCGCCUGGGGAGUACGACCGCAAGGUUGAAACUCAAAGGAAUUGACGGGGACCCGCACAAGCGGUGGAGCAUGUGGUUUAAUUCGAAGCAACGCGAAGAACCUUACCAAAUCUUGACAUCCUUUGACAACUCUAGAGAUAGAGCCUUCCCCUUCGGGGGACAAAGUGACAGGUGGUGCAUGGUUGUCGUCAGCUCGUGUCGUGAGAUGUUGGGUUAAGUCCCGCAACGAGCGCAACCCUUAAGCUUAGUUGCCAUCAUUAAGUUGGGCACUCUAAGUUGACUGCCGGUGACAAACCGGAGGAAGGUGGGGAUGACGUCAAAUCAUCAUGCCCCUUAUGAUUUGGGCUACACACGUGCUACAAUGGACAAUACAAAGGGCAGCGAAACCGCGAGGUCAAGCAAAUCCCAUAAAGUUGUUCUCAGUUCGGAUUGUAGUCUGCAACUCGACUACAUGAAGCUGGAAUCGCUAGUAAUCGUAGAUCAGCAUGCUACGGUGAAUACGUUCCCGGGUCU
rnacentral:rRNA from 1 species